CCUUAGAGAGCACCUAAGUUUGUUCUGGGUAUAAGAUUUUGUGUGCUUGCACACUUCUUCAGAUAAAAGCUUAUACCCAGAACAAACUUAGGUGCUCUCUAAGG